CUCUGAAAAGCAGCCCAGAAUUUGGAAGCUGGAAGGAACUUUAGAUCGUCCAUUCUGGGUGUCUCUCUUCGUUGGCGUUUUCCCACUGAGGUUAUGUAAACAUGAAGAGGAGCCUACAAGUGUCAAGGAAAAAACGACAGCUAACCACAGGGCAGGCCAUGGCCAAGAUAGCUCAGUGUUCUCCGCUCUCAUAGGUCAGGUGAGACUCACUUAGGCUGGACUGCAAUGGUGCAAUCUCGGCUCACUGCAACCUCCGCCUCUCGGGUUCAAGCCAUUCUCCUGCCUCAGCCUUCCGAAUCGCUGGGAUUACAGGUCACAACCCCCAGGAGACCUGGAGAACUGAAUGCUGCUGCCCCCAAGGAGGAGGCUGCUGUCUUAUCCCAGGAGGGAGAGCAGGAAAAUAAAAAGGUUCAAAAGGAAGUUGCUGCGUAUCCAUCUGAGGCCUCUGAGGACAGCAAAGAGCAAAGGCCCUGGGAGCGGGUCUCCGUACCCAUGACAGAGCUCUGGCUGGACUGGUUCUCAGCCUCUAACACCCCCAACACUCAGAACCGUGAAGAAAAACUUUCC
rnacentral:antisense_RNA from 1 species